CCUACGGGAGGCAGCAGUAGGGAAUAUUGCUCAAUGGGGGAAACCCUGAAGCAGCAACGCCGCGUGGAGGAUGAAGGUUUUCGGAUUGUAAACUCCUUUUGUUAGAGAAGAUAAUGACGGUAUCUAACGAAUAAGCACCGGCUAACUCCGUGCCAGCAGCCGCGGUAAUACGGAAGGUGCAAGCGUUACUCGGAAUCACUGGGCGUAAAGAGCGCGUAGGCGGGAUAGCAAGUCAGAUGUGAAAUCCUAGGGCUUAACCAUAGAACUGCAUUUGAAACUGUUAUUCUAGAGUAUGGGAGAGGUAGGUGGAAUUCUUGGUGUAGGGGUAAAAUCCGUAGAGAUCAAGAGGAAUACUCAUUGCGAAGGCGACCUGCUAGAACAUAACUGACGCUGAUGCGCGAAAGCGUGGGGAGCAAACAGGAUUAGAUACCCGGGUAGUC
rnacentral:rRNA from 1 species